rnacentral:rRNA from 1 species
GACGAACGCUGGCGGCGUGCUUAACACAUGCGAGUCGAACGGAAAGGCCCUGCUUUUGUGGGGUGCUCGAGUGGCGAACGGGUGAGUAACACGUGAGUAACCUGCCCUUGACUUUGGGAUAACUUCGGGAAACUGGGGCUAAUACCGGAUAGGAGCUCCUGCUGCAUGGUGGGGGUUGGAAAGUUUCGGCGGUUGGGGAUGGACUCGCGGCUUAUCAGCUUGUUGGUGGGGUAGUGGCUUACCCAGGCUUUGACGGGUAGCCGGCCUGAGAGGGUGACCGGCCACAUUGGGACUGAGGUACGGCCCAGACUGCUACGGGAGGCAGCAGUGGGGAAUAUUGCACAAUGGGCGGAAGCCUGAUGCAGCAACGCCGCGUGCGGGAUGACGGCCUUCGGGUUGUAAACCGCUUUCGCCUGUGACGAAGCGUGAGUGACGGUAAUGGGUAAAGAAGCACCGGCUAACUACGUG